GGGGAGUUGGACUUCAGUGAGCUUCAAGGGUCCUUUCCAAUGCAAAUGAUUUCAUGAUGUUUAUGUGUGUGAAGACUUACCUCUCUAGACCUCUAAUAUACAACCACGCAGUGGGGUUCAGGAAAUCAGAAACUUUAAUUUCUGGCAUUACCAUUGCAGAUGUGUGAUUGUGAGGGACCAGGACCCCGAACUCUCCAGCUUCAAGCGCACAGACCUUCACCCUACAGAGGCUGUAUGGAAGCAGGAGGCCCCGUGGACCCAUGGCCAUCACUACUGUGCUGUCUGAGGAUGAAGGCAUCUGGGAUGAGCUGCAUAACGCAACAGAAACAGCACGGUCUUUCUUUGCUUAGAAGUUUCAAGCCAGGAAAUUCCUCAGCCUGCUUGAAAGCUCAGAGACAAAAGUCAGAUUUACACAGCUCACCUCAGCAGUCCAGUGCUUAUGAGAGAAAGUGCUGUAAAUUAUUCUGAGGAAAAAAAAAAGGAAGACUCCUCAUCUUUCUUUCUGAUUGUCACAUUUUAUUUCUGUAGAGAAAACCUGCCAAUUCUUUAUGUGAUUUCAAUAUUUCUAAAAAUGAUCAUAUCAACAGCAUGCACCUUUAUCCGACACAUUCAGCUUCUCAAAUGUGACAUGAGAGUGUAUGAUUUAAUUCUCCCUUUGACAUGAGUGUUGGAUUCUGAUCAGUCUUUCAGUUUACCUCCACUGAUGAUCCAUCCAAAUAAGUGUCAGGGUUCUUUCACGAUAACUCUUUCUCCACCAGUAAGGCAUUAUUUGAAUGUGGCAUUCUCUUGUCCCUUUAAAAAAAAAAAAUCCUAUUCUAAAUUGAUUCACAAGGAUGGAGCAAAAGGGGUUUUAAGAACAGAUUUGAGUUGUUAGCAUGCAUUGUAAAACUAUCAACAGCUUCCUUGGGGUCUAACAGGAAUGCUGAAAACUAUGUCAAAGCUUAUACAAAUAUUUAAGUGGAAGGCUUUCCAAUGUAAAUCUCAAUAAAAUGAAAUCAAAUAUGUGGUGC
rnacentral:lncRNA from 7 species